GAUGAACGCUAGCGGGAGGCCUAACACAUGCGAGCCGAGCGGUAUUUGUUCUUCGGUCCAGAGAGAGCGGCGCACGGGUGCGGAACACGGGUGCAACCUGCCUUUAUCUGGGGGAUAGCCUUUCGAAAGGAAGAUUAAUACCCCAUAAUAUAAUGAGUGGCAUCCUUUGAUAUUGAAAACUCCGGUGGAUAGAGAUGGGCACGCGCAAGAUUAGAUAGUUGGUGAGGUAACGGCUCACCAAGUCAAUGAUCUUUAGGGGGCCUGAGAGGGUGAUCCCCCACACUGGUACUGGGCCCCGGACCAGACUCCUACGGGCGGCAGCAGUGAGGAAUAUUGGACAAUGGGUUAGCGCCUGAUCCAGCCAGCCCGCGUGAAGGACGACGGCCCUAUGGGUUGUAAACUUCUUUUGUAUAGGGAUAACCCUACUCUCGUGAGAGUAGCUGAAGGUACUAUAAGAAUAAGCACCGGCUAACUCCGUG
rnacentral:rRNA from 1 species